rnacentral:piRNA from 1 species
UGUGGCGAACGCAAUAGAACAAC